CCUACGGGUGGCAGCAGUGGGGAAUAUUGGACAAUGGGGGCAACCCUGAUCCAGCCAUGCCGCGUGUGUGAAGAAGGCCCUCGGGUUGUAAAGCACUUUCAGUGAGGAAGAACGCCUGGUGGUUAAUACCCAUCAGGAAAGACAUCACUCACAGAAGAAGCACCGGCUAACUCCGUGCCAGCAGCCGCGGUAAUACGGAGGGUGCGAGCGUUAAUCGGAAUUACUGGGCGUAAAGCGCGCGUAGGUGGCUUGAUAAGCCGGUUGUGAAAGCCCCGGGCUCAACCUGGGAACGGCAUCCGGAACUGUCAAGCUAGAGUGCAGGAGAGGAAGGUAGAAUUCCCGGUGUAGCGGUGAAAUGCGUAGAGAUCGGGAGGAAUACCAGUGACGAAGGCGGCCUUCUGGACUGACACUGACACUGAGGUGCGAAAGCGUGGGUAGCAAACAGGAUUAGAUACCCUUGUAGUC
rnacentral:rRNA from 1 species